CUUCCUAGGCCUGCGUUCGCGUCCGCAAACUCCCGCCUCCUUGCGCUCCCCCCGCCCGGGAGCUUCACGUGCGCCUUGGCGGCCGCGGGGGCAGGUCCGGGCUGGACGCCUGGCGGAGGACGCGGGCAGGUGGCUUGUGGGAGGCUGGGGCAUAGUUGAGCUGCAAGGCGCAAACCGAUGAGGGGCGUCUGCUUUUCACCAGGGCGCCGUCGCUUUUGUCGGGAAACCGGCAGCGUAGGCGCGCAGACCGGGAAGCGGCAAGAAGAUUUGGCCACGAGCUGGGGUCUUCCUGGAACGGAGAGAAAGCACGGAACCCGCACCGGGCUUCUCUGGCAUCGGCAGUCUACGUGCUCCUCGCGCUGGCACCGAGCAGCCACUCCCCGCUGGGUUUGGCAAAGGCUGCUCUUGUAGAAUUUUAAAGGAUUUAGAGUCUCAUUAUUCCUUGAAUCAUAACUUCUGCGGCCGUAGGGAAGUGGACAGGUUGAGGUGGUCUUUCUAUUCGUCAUUCACUCUUAUUUGCAGGUUCUGUUUCAUGUACUUGGACGUCUUUUAGCCUCUCACACCUUGAAAUUCUAGUGUGAAAAAGUGACCUCUGAAGUCUCACGCACUCAACUCGUUUGACGAACUCGUUUGACGUGUUCUCUCUUGCCCUUUGUUGUCUGUUGUCUUGAGUCUCAUAGAAUAGGUUUGAACCUUUCACUGUCGGUUUUGUAGGAGUCACUGAGGAUAUUGACGAGGCAAGUGACAGGGUCGACACUCUUGUAGAGAGGCUGUAUAGCAACCAGGUGUCUGAAGGAUUAGAGGCUGGGGAAAGAGUGGGAAAGCAGUUAGUAGGCUAGGGUAUUUGUGCGUGAGGUGAGGAGACUCAGAGCUAGGGGAGACAUUAGAGCAGGGGUUGGCAAACAUUUUUUGUAAAGGGCCCGAUCAUAUUUUAAGUCUCUGCCUUAACUACUCAGCUCUACCUUGUAACGAGAAAGCAGCCAUAGACAAUACUUGAAUGAGUGUAGCUGUCUUCAGUAAAACUAUGGACAUUGAAUUUUUAAUAUAAUUUCAGGUAUGAAAUAUUCUUUUGAUUUUUAAGAAAAUCAUUGAAAUAUGUAAAUUUUUUUUUUUUUAGUUCUGGAGAGGUGCAAAAACAACUUAUAAGCCAUAUUGCUGAGCCCUGCAUUAGAGGUACCUGAGGGAGAGCGACACAAUUGGUAGUAAAUGACCAUAUACUCUAUCCUUCAAUAUGGAACACUUUUGGAAGUAAAGUAGGGCAUUAAUAAUUAUAGCCAGAGACCAGGAGUUAUAUCAGUUUUAUCCCAGGCAAACCUAAAGGAAUAGUCACCUUAAGGUUAAGGGUUAGGAGAAGUCAAAAUUGCUUUAGGACUUGGUAACAGAAAAUGGGAGGUGCCAGUGAUGGAAAUAGGAAGAUAAAGAAGAAACUGGUUUUGAGGAGAAGAUAGCUGUAGCAGUCCCAAGAGCUGUAUACAGUUGAGACAACAUUGAUAGGAAGGAAGAAAGCACCCCAGAAGCAGGCCACUCCUUAUAUCUUAUUGACCAGAACUGGGCUAUUAGCUGUCCCUAAAGCAGUAACAGACAAGGAGCAUGGGACAUCCAUGAUUGCCUAGUGUUUAUCUGGCUUUUUUAAUUCUUAUUCAGGACUGUGUUGAGCAUUGCUGGACAUUUACCAUCUCUGGUUCCUUCCAGCUAAAUGUCAGUACCACACCUCAGGCAUUGUGACACCGUAAAUCAACCGUUUUUCCCUCCCACCCCCCAGAGGUGUGGUACUGGUUGAGAACCAGUAGCUUAGACCCUCAGGAUUUACCUUGGGGCUGAAUUAGUGUGUGUAGGUUUCUUUUCCAGUUGGUUUGGAGGGAAGAGAGGAAUUGGACAGUAUUAAAGUUCUGCUGUCAAGGAAGUGGGCUGGGGAAUGUUGGGUAGCUAACCAACAUUGGCUGCCACGUGAAGUAAAAAAGUUUUCCUUUAUAUCCUUGAUAAAAUAGUGUCUCGACUUCUUCACACUUGAAGCCUUCCCAAAACCCCAGCUUUUUUGAUUCUCAUUGUAAGCCCCUUGAACUGGACUAGUUGGAAGUUCUUAUUUUCCACCCUAAGUAACAAGCUCUUGUCCCAAUAGGAUACUCUUGCUUUGAGUACUGCAAUAACUUUCCAAUUGGUGACUUGCCGUCAGUCUUUUCCUAUUUCAUUCCUACACGAAGAGACUAGAACUGUGUUCUGAUUUCCUUUGCUCAGACACCAAUCUCCAGGGGUGCUCUGUAAUUUGAAGAGGACAACUCAGAAAGCACUCAAGGGCCUCCAUAAGUCCCUGAGUGGCUUCCCUGCCUUCCCGUUCCCCAGCAAACAAUCCCUUGGAUACCCUCUAUUAAAUGAUACGUUUCCCCUUACAAUACCUAGUCCCUUGCCCCAUAUAUGCUAUGUGUAUUGCACAGUCUAGGACUUGACUCAUGCUGUUUCCUCACGGAGCAUGCCCUUCUUAUUUCUAACCAUACAAAUUCCAUGACCUAUCCAUUCUUUCAAUUCUACUUCCACCUGAGGCCUCUAUCAGCCCACAUUAACCUACCUUCUUUGAAUUUCUGUGUGUUCCUUACCUGUACCACCCAUUUUGGCCUUUUAUUUUAUGCUCUUCUUGACUAUUCUGUUAUUGAAACUGUCCUUUAGAUCCCAAGAUUUCUACUUUUUCCCUGCGGAUGCUUUUUUAUUUUUUUUAUUUUUGACUUCUUUCUACCCUCCUUUUCCUCUUACAUCCCUGCUUUGCCUAGAGGACAUCUACAAGAAUCGUCAUGUACAUUCUUUUCUCCUGUUGUUAGCUUUUUUCCCCUGACACUUCAUCUAUUUACUGAUUUACUUGUAAAUCUCUGGAAGAUAUUAGUACUAGCCACCAAAUAUUUCUAUUUCUUUUUCCACACACGUAGAUUUGGAUUUCCCUACUCCUUUUACCUCAAGAAUGGCCAAUGAAAUGUGAUUGGAAGUGACUUGUGUCAUUUCCAAAUAAAAGCUUUAAGAGCCUGUGGACAUUUAUCCUGCGCUGUUUCUUCCUGCCAACAGUGAUGAAAUAUUUUAAUUAUCUAUUGUCCCAUGACAAAGCACCUUAAAUCUUAAUGGUUUAAAACAGUCACCAUUUUAUUAUGUGUAACAGUUUUGUGGGUUGACUAGGCUCAUGGGCAGUUGUCUAAUCUUGCUCAGGGUCUCUCAUGUGGUUCCAGCCUGGUAUUGUUUGGGGCUGGAGUUUUUGGAGGCUCAACUAGGUUGCUAGAGUAGCUGAGCUUUUCUAUUUACCCAUGCCGUUCCAAAGACUCUCUGAUUCACAUGGCUUCUUCAGCAGAGUAGCCUGACUUCUUUCUUGCAUGGUGGCUUAGGAUUCUCAAAUGCAAUAAAAGCAAAAACUUCGAGGUUUUGUAAGUCUUAGGUCUGGAAAUGACAUGUUGUAUUGGUAAAAGCAGUUACAGGGCCAGCUCAAUUUUAAGGGGAGAGGAAAUAAACACUUGAUAGGGGUGGAGGGAGAGUGACAAAGAAUUUGUGGCCAUCUUUAUUACAAAAAUUUUUGUCAACCACAGAGUUACAGGAAAAUGUGGCCAUCUUUAAUCACUACUCCAACGAUGUUUCAAAUUGAGUGGGCUUCCAUCAGCCAGGGUCUCGGAGACAGGACAAAGUGGAAAACAGCUCCCAAAUAACAUACCUAGGUAUAUGAAUAAGAAAUACAUCUCUGCUGUCCUGAGUCACUUAGCUAUUUGGAGUUGUUUGGUAUCAACUUUUGCAUACUAAUAUAAAAAUUGGUACUGGAAAUAGGGUGGUGCUAUAACAAAAAUCUAAAAUAUGAGUCACUGACAUAUAUAAUAAUUGAGUUAGAAAUACUAGUGGUUGGUUGUUAGGCAGCAUCCAGCUUUGACUCACUUAUGCAUUUCCCAGUGAACCUAGCUCAGAAGUUUGCACCAUGAUAUUCAAUAAAUAAUUCUUAAAUAAGAGAGAUUGUUUCUUGUAAUUUUUCCCUAUUUUAGGGAAAAACUUUUUUUUUUUUUCCAUAUCACAUUUUUCUUGAAACAUUGGAGUGCCACGAACAUAUCAUUUGAUGCUCUGUUUGAGUGCCACCAGUGAGUUUCCCGAUGUUUAAGUUUGGCUCGUGGGCAGCCCACCUUCUUCCUCUCCACUUUCUCUUGGGAGCCAUCCUGCUCAUGGAAAGUGUGCUUUCUCCUCUGCUACCUCACACAAGUUUCAAAGGAGCUUGCUCCUGCCAGGGGAGGCUUGGGGUAAGCCAAACAGCAUCAGCUCCCCGGGGGAAGGGAAAUUUCAGGUUUGGAGCUAAGUUCACUUCCAGGGAGUGACAAAGCCUGUUUGAACUUUAAUUCACAGAGUAAAAGAGUUCAAUGUUGGCCAUUAAUGAUUUGGACUUUAACAUGAAGUUGGUACUGAUUACUUUGGGCCAUAAUUUAGAAGGACAGAGUGAUUUAAUCUCUGAACUUUUAAUUUCUCUCUGGAAAAUUAAUACUGGGAGAGGGUUAAAAUCAAAUUGAGAACAUCUUGUUGGUUCUUAGUUAUUAAAGUAUUUGAUCACAUUUUAGAAAUUCUGAUAACUUUGGGCAAGCUGACAGGACAUAGUUUGAGAUGGCGAUAGAACAUAUUGUGAAUUACAGCCUUGGAUACAGAAUAGCAUUGGAACUGAUUUAAUCGAUAAAUUGUUCUGACCCAUUCAGGGCAUUUUGGGGACAGACUCUACAGUUUACUAGUGGCCCCAGGACAUCCUGCAAAAGAGGUGAAAUCAGUAUUGGAGAAGUGGUCUCAUGAAGAUGGGAGCACGACUACUACAAUUGACUGCUGACUUCUCACCCAAGGAAGUAACUGUAUCCCAGCCUAAUCUCAGUGGAUAAGCCCACAGGGUUAAGGAGUAAUCAUCAUGCUCCAUUUCGUUUUUGAGCCAUCUUCAGCCUUUGAGUCCUUAAGCUUUUUGGAGACAGUUUGUGGAGAAGGUCCUCACAACAUUGUGCAACAAGUGU
rnacentral:lncRNA from 1 species